ACAACAGUUGGAAACGACUGCUAAUACCGCAUAAGCCCACGGAUCCGCAUGGGUCUGCGGGAAAAGGAUUUAUUCGCUUCAGGAUGGACUCGCGUCCAAUUAGCUAGUUGGUGAGGUAACGGCCCACCAAGGCGACGAUUGGUAGCCGGACUGAGAGGUUGAACGGCCACAUUGGGACUGAGACACGGCCCAGACUCCUACGGGAGGCAGCAGUGGGGGAUAUUGCACAAUGGGGGAAACCCUGAUGCAGCGACGCCGCGUGGAGGAAGAAGGUUUUCGGAUUGUAAACUCCUGUCGUUAGGGACGAUAAUGACGGUACCUAACAAGAAAGCACCGGCUAACUACGUGCCAGCAGCCGCGGUAAAACGUAGGGUGCAAGCGUUGUCCGGAAUUACUGGGUGUAAAGGGAGCGCAGGCGGACCGGCAAGUUGGAAGUGAAAACUAUGGGCUCAACCCAUAAAUUGCUUUCAAAACUGCUGGCCUUGAGUAGUGCAGAGGUAGGUGGAAUUCCCGGUGUAGCGGUGGAAUGCGUAGAUAUCGGGAGGAACACCAGUGGCGAAGGCGACCUACUGGGCACCAACUGACGCUGAGGCUCGAAAGCAUGGGUAGCAAACAGGAUUAGAUACCCUGGUAGUCCAUGCCGUAAACGAUGAUUACUAGGUGUUGGAGGAUUGACCCCUUCAGUGCCG
rnacentral:rRNA from 1 species